UCAAGAACAAAAAGAGAACGAGGCGUGCCUUUUUCAUCCCCGAAGGUAAGCGCUUCUCUUAAUAGUAGCUUCCUCAGUUAGAAAGCUCUCAAUUUGUGUAAGUGCCUCAAUUGCAAUAGCAGUUGGUGUGAGCGCCGAUGCAUCCCCGUGACCCUGCUUGCCUGCUAUUUGUUCAAGGCAAACUCUUGCAUCAGCAUUGCCAUAUGCCUUGCCCCUUUCUUCAAAGAGAGUCGUGAGCCUCAUGAAAGCCUUUGUGUAAGGAUCACCAGACUCAGCAUGCAAAAGAGGACGUGAAGCAGUUCCAACAGCAGUAAUUCGCCUUGCUAAAGCAUCCAAAGGCACAUCUAACCAGAUAGUUAAUCCCUGUCUCAUGUACCUCCAGUUGAUUGGUCGAAUCACGGCGCCUCCUCCAGUUGCAAUGACCAAACGGCACAUAGAAGACAAGUCCCUCAGCACGUUGGUCUCAUUGUCUCUGAAGAAUGCCUCACUAUGCUCCUUAAAUAUCUGUGCAACAGAAGAUAUUCCAACAGCUUGCUCAACUAGUUUGUCACUAUCAAAAAAGGAAUAACCUAACACUUCUGACAAUAUCUUCCCCACCGUAGUCUUCCCGGAUCCCAUCAUACCAACUAGAUAUAUACAUCGUCCAUUUAAGUAGGGCGCAGCAUCUUCCGCUUUCCUCUUCAGUAAAAGUGCUUCAUCUACAUAAGCAUGAAAGUUCUCAGAUCCAGCACCUCCGCGAUUGUCGCAAGAACAUGAAACCCUCGGCUCGAUCAAAACGCCGCUCCGCCGUGGAUCCCGCAUACUCAGCCUCAGAGGCCUCAUCUCCCCCAUGCAACCGAGACUCACGAACUCGCCGGACCUCCUCACCUCCCUGAAUCCGAGCCUCGCGAACCCGCCGGGCCUCCGCCUGGCCCCUUCGCCACCGACCAGGGAACACGACUGGAAACUCAAAGCGGCGCCAGCCUCCAUCGGAUUAAAAGCUGAGCAACUCCAGAUUGAUUACAGCGAAUCUCGAAAGCUCGAUGGCCGGAUAUCGGCGCGGACACAGCUAGA
rnacentral:misc_RNA from 1 species